UUUCGGGAGUCCCCCACUCCACCCUGGAUCACAGUUAGGUGGCCUUGUUUCUCAUUCGAUUCUGACAGUAAGGUCUCUGGGGUUUGGGGGCGUUUAUGAAAGUCUGACAGUAUCUACAUCGCACCGAGGGCUGGAUGGACAGUUGAGAAAUAAAUGAAUGAUGUAUAAAUGAAGGAGGGGAUGGAUGGAUGACCUGCCACUGAACUCUCAGUAAACAAACCAAGUCAGGCAAGGUUUUAAGAUUAUAUUGUCUUCUCAGCUUGCAAUGACUUUGGAUGGCUCUUAUGCAGGACAUUUUUUGCCUACAUGUAGACACAUGACUAAGUCCCACAUGUGUGUGGGUGCCAUAAAAGCAGCUGAUAAUUGUUGAACACUUUGUGCUGGGUGUUGAGCUGAGUCCUCAUAACCACCCUCAGAAGUAGAUCCUGUGGCUGUCUCCACUCACAGAUAAGGACAUUGAGGCACUAAGGGGCCAGUGGAAUACAGUGGGGAGUAACCUCACAAAAGCUUCACAGAUUUCUAGAGGCAAAUCUGAAAACCUUAGAAAGUGUAGAAAAACUGAAAGCAAAGUGUCUAAUCUCAAAAGAUUCUAUUAAAGCAGCCAGUAUCACAAGUCUGCUGUUUCCUGAGUUUCCAAUGAUGGCCAUGGCCCCACACACCUUCAGGAACAGCCAGCUGGACACACCACGGGAUGCCAAAAUCUCAACCCUGAUACUCACCUGCAACAUGUUGGUCUUCUCAUACCAGUUAGCAAGAUCUGAACAAUGCAGAGUGAUGCACAAUGGCCUCAGUUUACCCCUUCUUGCUGCCUAAGCUUUGCAGUGCUCUUUCGCCCUGAACUGUGCAGAAGGAUGGAAAAAGAUGAACACUCUUUAGCCUCCACAGAAAAGGAAACCCUGCCGUUUGCUACAGAGUGGAAGACCAUGGCAAGCCUGGUCAUGAAAGAAAUGUCAGGCACAGAGACAAGUGCCACAUGACAUCACUCAUGUGGCAUCUCAAAGGUUGAUCUCAUAGGAACAGAGAGUAGAAUGGCCUGUACUUGAGGCAGGGGCCCUGGUGGAGGUACCGGAGAGGUUAUAGUCAAAGGAUUCAUAAUUUCAAACAGGCGGAACAAGGUCCUGAGAGCUAUUGAUCUCCACAGUAACUAUGGUUAAUAACAAUCUAUUAUUCUUGAAAUCUGCUGAGAGUAGAUUUUAACAUUUUAAGUCAUGACAAAAAUUAUAGGUAUGUGAAGUAAUGCACCUGCUAAUUAGCUCAGUAUAGUCAUUUCAGAAAGUACACAGAUUUUUAAAUAGCUUGUACAUAAUAA